rnacentral:misc_RNA from 1 species
UGGGAGGCGUUCAGCUUGGACGCCAUUGAUAAUGGCAUGCGGAUCAGUCAGGAUUUCUGCACGCCAAUUUGAAUGGCAUCCGGAUUUUUGCAUGCCAUUUUGAAUAGCCUUCGGCACUGUUAGGGAUAGCCUCAUCACCCCGCACGCGAAUUUGAAUAGCGUUGUUAGGCUCCUCACCCUGCUCUGGUAAUUUUCCUUCGAUCCACCAUGUUUUCAUCAUUUUUGCUCCACUGUAGUCCUUGUACGGUAAAAUUCCCGGAUAAAGAGGGACAUACACAACAUGGUUGGCAAUAUUUUG